rnacentral:snoRNA from 2 species
CCCCUCUCAGGAUUGCUGCUGGAGAGUUUCCAGUACUCUACCAGUCUCAGCUAUGGGAGGGAGAGUCAAGCAGAGGCCUACCCAUUUCAUUUUUAGCUUGGGCAGUGGCUAGCGAGUGGAAGGUAAUCUGCUACAAGC